rnacentral:rRNA from 1 species
GACGAACGCUGGCGGCGUGCUUAACACAUGCAAGUCGAACGGACAGGCCCUGCUUUUGUUGGUUGCUCGUUUGGCGAACGCGUGUGUAACACGUGUGUAUCCUGCCCUUGUCUUUCUGAUAUCUUCUCGAAACUCGGGCUCUUACCGGAUAGGAUCUCCUGCUCCAUGGUGGUCGUUGGUAAGUUUCGGCGGUUGGGGAUGGACUCGCUGCUUAUCCGCUUGUUGGUGGGGUAGUGGCUUACCAAGGGUUUGACGGGUAGCCGGCCUGAGAGGGGGAACGGCGACAAGGGGACUGAGAGACGGAGCAGACGGCAACGGGAGGCAGCAGGGGGGAAUAUGGCAGAAUGGGGGGAAGCCAGAUGCAGAAACGCCGCGAGCGGGAAGACGGGCUACGGGGGGAAAACAGAUGUGGAAGGAGACGAAGCGGGAGUGACGGUAAUGGGUAAAGAAGCAACGGCUAACUACGUG